GGGAGUGUAGCUCAGUGAUAGAGUUCAUGCUUCGUAUGCACAAGUCUUGGGUUCAAUCCCCAGCACCCCCC
rfam:Ictidomys tridecemlineatus contig105134, whole genome shotgun sequence.